rnacentral:rRNA from 1 species
UUUGAAAGCUGGCCUUCUGGUCCGCAUUGUAAUUUGCAGAGGAUGCUUUUGGCGCGGUGCCUUCCGAGUUCCCUGGAACGGGACGCCUUAGAGGGUGAGAGCCCCGUACGGUUGGACACCAAGCCUCUGUAAAGCUCCUUCGACGAGUCGAGUAGUUUGGGAAUGCUGCUCUAAAUGGGAGGUAAAUUUCUUCUAAAGCUAAAUACCGGCCAGAGACCGAUAGCGCACAAGUAGAGUGAUCGAAAGAUGAAAAGCACUUUGAAAAGAGGGUUAAACAGCACGUGAAAUUGUUGAAAGGGAAGCGUUUGCGACCAGACUUUUUCUAGGCGGAUCAUCCGGUGUUCUCACCGGUGCACUUCGCCUGGUUUAGGCCAGCAUCGGUUUCUGUAGGGGGAUAAAAGCCUGGGGAAAGUAGCUCUCUCGGGAGUGUUAUAGCCCCUAGCAUAAUACCCUUACGGGGACCGAGGAUCGCGCUCUGCAAGGAUGCUGGCGUAAUGGUCGUCAACGACCCGUCUUGAAACACGGACCAAGGAGUCGAACAUUUGUGCGAGUGUUUGGGUGUUAAACCCUCACGCGUAAUGAAAGUGAACGGAGGUGAGAGCCCUUACGGGUGCAUCAUCGACCGAUCCUGAUGUCUUCGGAUGGAUUUGAGUAAGAGCAUAACUGUUCGGACCCGAAAGAUGGUGAACUAUGCGUGGAUAGGGUGAAGCCAGAGGAAACUCUGGUGGAGGCUCGCAGCGGUUCUGACGUGCAAAUCGAUCGUCAAAUCUGCGCAUGGGGGCGAAAGACUAAUCGAACCAUCU